rnacentral:misc_RNA from 1 species
GCUCCGUAGGUGAACCUGCGGAGGGAUCAUUACAGAGUUCUGGCCCCUCCGGGUAGAUCCCCCACCCACUGUGAGUGUUACUGUGUUGCUUUUGCGGGCCUCCGGGCUCUUCCCGUCCGCCGGCUCCUGCUGGCGCGCGACCGCCAGAGGCUACCCAAACUCUGAAUGUCCGUGUCGUCUGAGUACUAUAUAAUAGUUAAAACUAUCAACAACGGAUCUCUUGGUUCUG